rnacentral:rRNA from 1 species
AUUGAACGCUGGCGGCAGGCCUAACACAUGCACGUCGAACGAGUGGCGGACGGGUGAGUAAUGUCUGGGAAACUGCCCGAUGGAGGGGGAUAACUAAUGGAAACGGUAGCUAAUACCGCAUACCAUCAGAUGUGCCCAGAUGGGCUUAGCUUGUUGGUGGGUUAACGGCUCACCAAUGCGACGAUCCCUAGUUGGUCUGAGAGGAUGACCAGCCACACUGGAACUGUGUCACGGGCCCUACUCCUACGUGAGGCAGCAGUGGUGAAUAUUGCACAAUGGGCGCAAGCCUGAGUCAGCCAUGCCGCGUGUAUGAAGAAGGCCUUCGGGUUGUAAAGUACUUUCAGCGGGGAGGCGUUACCCGCAGAAGAAGCACCGGCUAACUCCGUGCCAGCAGCCGCGGUAAUUC